rnacentral:rRNA from 1 species
GAUUGAACGCUGGCGGCAGGCCUAACACAUGCAAAUCGAGCGGAUGAGAGGAGCUUGCUCCUGGAUUCAGCGGCGGACGGGUGAGUAAUGCCUAGGAAUCUGCCUGGUAGUGGGGGACAACGUUUCGAAAGGAACGCUAAUACCGCAUACGUCCUACGGGAGAAAGCAGGGGACCUUCGGGCCUUGCGCUAUCAGAUGAGCCUAGGUCGGAUUAGCUAGUUGGUGAGGUAAUGGCUCACCAAGGCGACGAUCCGUAACUGGUCUGAGAGGAUGAUCAGUCACACUGGAACUGAGACACGGUCCAGACUCCUACGGGAGGCAGCAGUGGGGAAUAUUGGACAAUGGGCGAAAGCCUGAUCCAGCCAUGCCGCGUGUGUGAAGAAGGUCUUCGGAUUGUAAAGCACUUUAAGUUGGGAGGAAGGGCUGUAGAUUAAUACUCUGCUAAUUUGACGUUACCGACAGAAUAAGCA